AUGACUUGUUUUGGUGGGGAGAAGGGCCAUUUUGGGGCAAAAAAGGCCAAUUUUGGGGCAAAAAGGGUCGUUUUUUGGGCAAAAAAAGGCCAUUUUGGGGGCAAAAAAGGCCAUUUUGGGGCUCGAAAUGGGGCAUUUUGGGGCAAAAAUGGCCAUUUUGGGGGCAAAAAGGGCCAUUUUGGAGCUGGAAAUGGGGCAUUUUGGGGCAAAAAGGGGCAAUUUUGGGCAAAAAAAGGUCAUUUGGGGGGCAAAAAAGGCCAUUUUGGGGCUGGAAAUGGGGCAUUUUGGGGCAAAAAUGGCCACAAUUUUGGGACAAAAAGGGUCAAUUUGUGGGGGGGGAAAUGGGUAUUUUUUGGGAAAAGGGCCAAUUUUUUGGGGGAAAAGUGCCAUUUUGGGGCAAAAAGUUGCCAUUUUGGGGGGAAAUGAGGCAUUUUGGGGGCAAAAAGGCCAUUUGGGGGCUGGAAAUGACUUGUUUUGGGGGAAAAGGGUUAUUUGGGGGAAAGAUACCAUUUUGGUGCAAAAAUGGGCAAUUUUUGGGGGCUGGAAAUGACUUGUUUUGGGGGAAAAAGGGUUAUUUUGGGGGGAAAAGAUACCAUUUUUGGUGCAAAAUGGGCAAUUUUGGGGCAAAAAGGGGCAUUUUUGGGGCAAAAAGGCGGAUUUGUGGGGGCUGCAAAAGAGCUGUUUUGGGGGCAAAAUAGCCAUUU
rnacentral:lncRNA from 1 species